GAAGAUGAGGCAAUGGAACAGCUCUCUCAGGUGCACACCUCUAGCAAGUGGUGAAGCUGGAAAUUGAACCCAGGCAGACAGGGAUUCAGAGUCCAGUGAUCCCAUUGAAUCAUGGGAUACAAUGCGUCACCUCUAGCUUUCUUGCCUACAUCAUAGAAGAAUAAAAAGCAGAUUCGACGCCAGAAAAUUACAGCACCUGAGGAACUCAGAGACGUCAGUUGGACCAUUGUUUUGGCUUUGGGGAAGAGGAUUGCUCCAGGCAGGCUGUGGGAGUUCCCCUGCGCUCUGCUGCUCUGGGGCUCCGGAAUGGCCAGGACAACCUCCUGGUUCGGUCAGGAUCUUAGCCACGCCUACAUCUGGUGGGACCUGAAACCUGAAUACAGAGCACCCAGUUUGCUGGUUUAAAGACUGCACCGUUAGAAGAAGAGACUCAGAGAAGGCUUUUCCUUGUCUGGACAGAAGAUGUGGAGAAUGGUCCACUCUUUUCUGAUCCCUUGAGGAGUCACGAAAGUCUGGUAAGGACAGAGCCAAAAACUCAAGGACCACUAUGCCAGAAGAUCGCACCGGUCUUCAGAUUUGCUCUUCAGGCACCCAUAACUCCAUAACCACCACAGGCUGAAGAUCUUCUCCCAUCAAGUCGGUGACAUUCCCAAAGCAAAAGGAUCGCUGUGCUACCGGAGCCCUUACACUGUCAUCACCUGUCUACCAGAGGGCUUGUUUUUGUCUGAAGAAAUCUGAAAUAAUCACAGACCUGGUGCUUGUACACUGUACAGCUAAGGUUUUAUAACCACAUUUGCCCUUAUCUGUGCCAAAUUACCUAGAGCACAGGGAAAGAUGCCUCUCGCAGGAUGAUCUGCAAGGAUUCAGGUGAACAAUAGCCCAUGGAAGUUCAGAAAUGGCUCAAGAUCCCACCGAUUAGAAGCAACAGGACCUGGGCUUGCGCAUGCCUUAGUCUGAGUCAGAAUAGUGAACUGGCAUUCUGAAUGCUAGCAUCACAUAAGUGCAAUAUAAUGAUGAUCCGGUACCCACAGUGAAGUGAGCUCAUGUUCUAGAAAUCAUCAUGAUGCAUGCUCAGCAGAGGCACGAGAAACGCUUCACAUACAGGCGAGCCUGAAAAACAUCUGCAAUAGAGACCACCAUCUGGGUCCAUUCGACACUGUGUUUGUCUGCGCAUGUCUCAGCCAACAGACAGGGAACUCCAAGAGGUCUAGACUCUGCUGCCCUAACUAAGACCACACAGGUGGACAGAGGCUUCCACCGCUGCCUCCCAUCAUGUGUUUUGUCAGAAGCAUUACCAAGGAGUAAGAUGGUGUUGAACUCCACCAUGGACCCUGGCAUCAGCACCCAACUUCGGGUGGUCCCCUCUGCCCCCCUACUCUUUAUAGAUGAGUCAAGUUCAGCACCCACAGGCUUAAUUACCGCAGGCUUCCAGCCACACCAGCCGAGAAACAGCCUUUAGCUUCCUUAGCCCCCACCAAGGGGCUGAGUGACCAUCCGAAGAAACACAGGUCGCAGUACUCCCAAGAUCUAGCUUAUCCUCUUGGGAGCCCUUAUUCUGUAAUGAACUCUUGUGCCUAAAUCACCAAGCAUGAGUUCUUCAAGCGUCCUGUUUGUACAACAUGAUUAUUUUAUUAACAAUACUUAUUGCAAAAGAGUUACUAUUUACCUGAGGACUGACUGUACUGGGCAUCAUGUUCAUAUUAUACCUUCUGCCCGCAUUGCCUUAGGGAAUCACAGUGACAAAGACCACUGCUAUUGCCGUAUGAGAGAAGGACACUUCUGCAGAGAUAUUAAAUGAUGAUGUUCAGCAAGUUCGUAAAGUGACAAAGCUAGGAAGUGAGCAAGGGCUGUUGGAUAGUAAAAACCCAAAUCACAUCAACAUGGCCACUACUCUUUUCUCCUGACCUGACAGUCCUCUCCCAUUCCAGAUUCUGUCCAGGCCCCAGGGUCUUGCCAUUCUCUUGUUCUCCUAGAGACCAAAGUGUGCACUCAUGAAGAGACCCUGUGUUAGCCUGGAUUCUCCAGAAAGUCAGAACCCAUAGAAGAUAAAUGUGUAUGUUUAUUAUGGGAAUCGGCUCAUGGGAUUCUGGGAGCCGAGAAGCUCCAUGAUUUGCUGUCCGACCAAACCAGAAAAGCUAGUGGUGUGACUGAGUCUGACUCAAAAGGUCCUAGAACCAGGCAGCUGCUGUGUAUGUUCUGGAGCCAAAGGCCCAGGAAGCAAGAGCUCUGAUGUCUAAGGGCAGGAGAAGCUGAAUAACUCAGUUCAAGAAGGGAGGAAGAGACUUCAUCCUUCUUUUGCUUUUUUGUUUUAAUUCAGGCUUUCAAAGAUGUGGAUGAUGCCCACCCAUGUUGGUGAGGGUGAUGUUCUUCACUGGAUUUGCUAACUGAAAAGCCAGUCUCUUCUGAAAACGCCCUCACAGAGACACCCAGAAAUAAUGUGUUACUAAUUUUCAGGGCAUCCUUUAGCCCAGUCAGGUUAACACAUAAAUUAAUCAUCACCCACCCUGAGACCUUAAGUUCCCAUAUUCCAGGAGUUGAUUUCUUCUCUACUCCACCAGUGAGUCUUACUGGCUCCUCCCCAGGCCUCUGCACCCAGGCAUCCUCAUUCUCCUGCCCUAGUCUGCAUGAUUUCUUAGCCAACACUGGAGAGUUUCCAGAGCCUGUCGUCUUGUCUCCAAGCUUUGCAUGCUUCAGUUGGCAGCUGCUAAAAGUCUUCACCUAAGCCAUUCCUAUUCCUUCCUCGGUGUGGUGGGUUAAUGAAUGAAUGGUCAACUUAGAACGCCCAGCUGAACUGAGUUAGUAUGGUUCUGGGUGUGGAAGACCCACCUGAGAAUUGUUCCUAAUGGCACAGGAGAACUGGAGCGGAAGGUAGUGUGCUAUUGAUCUUCCUGGAGAAGCUUGUCACUCCUGGUUUUCCCGAUACGAACUAGGCUGUUCUCAUCAUGGGGGCACUCUGAUCUUCAUCCUGAGUGUCACUGCCUGUACCUCAUCUGUAUCUAAUGAUUUCUCAUCUUGUAUUAGUUUGUUUUUCAUUACUGUCAUGAAAUAUUCGAGGCUGGAUAUUUAUAAAGAAAAGAAGUUUAUGUAACUUUCUGUUUUGGAGGCCGAAAGUCUAAAUAACAUAGCUCUGGCUCUAGUGGAGCCCCCUUAGGUGCAUUACCUUGGGACAGAAGGCUCCUCAUGGCAGAUAAGCGUGUGAGAGGAAAAGACCAUGUCACAGCCAAGCCUGGGAGAGAAAGAGGCACAGCCCUUGCCCUCACUGGGCCCAACCACUUAGCAGCACCACUACAGAGAAGGCCAAACUCGAAGCACAUUAACCCUUGUAGAACAAACCAACAUUCAACCCAUAUCACAUCUCCAUUCAC